GAUGAACGCUGGCGGCGUGCCUAAUACAUGCAAGUCGAGCGAACAGAUGAGGAGCUUGCUCCUCUGACGUUAGCGGCGGACGGGUGAGUAACACGUGGAUCACCUACCUAUAAGACUGGGAUAACUUCGGGAAACCGGAGCUAAUACCGGAUAAUAUAUUGAACCGCAUGGUUCAAUAGUGAAUGACGGUUUUGCUGUCACUUAUAGAUGGAUCCGCGCCGCAUUAGCUAGUUGGUAAGGUAACGGCUUACCAAGGCGACGAUGCGUAGCCGACCUGAGAGGGUGAUCGGCCACACUGGAACUGAGACACGGUCCAGACUCCUACGGGAGGCAGCAGUAGGGAAUCUUCCGCAAUGGGCGAAAGCCUGACGGAGCAACGCCGCGUGAGUGAUGAAGGUCUUCGGAUCGUAAAACUCUGUUAUUAGGGAAGAACAAAUGUGUAAGUAACUAUGCACGUCUUGACGGUACCUAAUCAGAAAGCCACGGCUAACUACGUG
rnacentral:rRNA from 1 species